rfam:Streptococcus agalactiae 2603V/R, complete genome.
GAUUUGUUAGUUUAAAUCAAACCUGUUAUGAUUUAAGUUAACAAACCACCAUAAACCACAUUGUUUGCUGAGAUUGACUCCGAGCAGUGUGGUUUUUUU